AAGUCUAGCGGCAUUUCGUCUGCCUUGAUGUUCUGAGUUCAAAUUCCGCCGAGGUCGACUUUGUCUUUAAUUCUUUCAGGAUCGAUAAAUUAAGUACUAGUUGUGUACUGGGGUCGAUGUUAUAUAGGUACAUUAUUUUAAACGGAAAGCUGGCAGAAUCGUUAGAGCGUCGGACAAAAUGCGUAGCCACAUUUCGUCCGUCUUUAAGUUCUGCUCAGCUGGGAAUUGGUGCCACCCGAGUAAUGGCACUCCUCUUUCUAUCACUUCUUCCAGUUGUCAUAUACAAAGUGCCGCUGGGUCAAACGGUGAGACACUGGAGAAUUGAGUGUGAAAGUGCCGCUGGGUCAAACAGUGAGACGCGUGAGAGUUGAGGGAGCAAGUGCCGCUGGGUCAAACAGUGAGGCACGUGAGAGUAGAGGGAGCAAGUACCACUGGGUUACACUGUGAGGCACGUGAAAGUAGAGCGAGUAAGUGCCAUUGGGUCACACAGUGAGGCACGUGAGAGUUGAACAAGUGCUCGGUCAGUGAGGCACAUGAGAGAUGAGCGAGCAAGUGCCGCUGGGUCAAACAGCGAGGCACGUGAAAGUAGAGGGAGCAAGUUCCACUGGGUCACACAGUGAGGCACGUGAAAGUAGAGGGAGCAAGUGCCACUGGGUCACACUGUGAGGCACGUGGGAGUUGAACAAGUGCUCGGUCAAACAGUGAGGCACAUGAGAGUAGAGAGUAGAGCGAGCAAGUGCCGCUGGGUCAAACAGCGAAGUACGUGAGAGUUGAGCGAGAAAGUGCCGCUGGAUCAAAUAGCGAGGCACGUGAGAGUAGAGCGAGAAAGUGCCGCUGGAUCAAAUAGCGAGGCACGUGAGAGUAGAGCGAGCAAGUGCCGAUGGGUCAAACAGUGAGGCACAUGAAAGUAGAGCAAGCAAAUGCCGCUGGAUCAAAUUCCGCCGCGGUCGGCAUUGCUUUUCAUCCUUUCAGGGUUGAUAAAGUGAGUACCAGUUAUGUACUGGGGUCGACCUCAUUGACUUUCCUCUUCUGCCAAGUUUUAGGUAUUGCACCAACAACAGAAAUUGUUAUCAUUAUUUCAUAUACGCAGGCAGUCUUUUUAAAUACAUACCAGCGAUUAUCUGGGGGAGUUUGAUAAAAUCAACUAUGCCCGCCCUCAAAUAUUAUAUGGUAUUGUAACUACUCUAGGCCGACUGUGAAUGCAACAUGGUCGAGUGGUUAAAAUGCUUGCCUGUGUUAAUCACACGGAAAUGGGUUCGAUUCCGUUCGGCGUCAUUAACCAAGUCCUCAGCUGCCCCAGAGUUUUGUAAGUGAACUCAGAUGGAGAGAAAAGAAACUGUGCGGAAACCCACUGAAGGCAUUGUAACUAAAGUUAAGAAAUACCUUGUGGUAUUUAUAUCGGUUCUUUGCGGUAUUUUUCAAAAUCCCAUCGAGGUCAACUGUACUGUUUUAACCGUUUGGGGGUUGACAAAAUGAAGUACCAGUCAAAAACUUGGGUCGAUCGAUCGUCUUAAUCCUUUCCCUCAAAACUGCUGGCUCUAUGCUUAAAUCAGAAACCAUCAUCAUUAUCAUUUGGUUAAUUAUAAAUCAGUAUUAUUUAAAAUAGGUAUAAUUUUCUAUAUACAUAAAAGGCCAAGUCGUGUUUUUUUUUGUUUUUUUUUAUUGGUGAAAGGAGAAUGCUAUGAUUGUAGCUGUGUUGAGAGAGAGAGAUAGUUAUAUGGGGUGGAUUAUACAAAUAGAUAGGAAAGACUGUCAGAAAGCUACGGUGGAGUAGAUAAAUAGAUAGACAAAAGACUGACAGAGCGGCAGGGAAAGAAAGAGGCAGAGAAAAAUAUUCGUCGGUCAAUCAGUAAGCAUGAUAGCUAGUAGUCAUAUGAGCAGGGAAAACAAAAAGGCAAGAAAAUGGAGCAAGGCUUGAGCAGAGAGAUUAUAAUUAUAAUUACUACAAGGUUAAACAAACCCCAUCGUUUUUGACGGAUACUACGCCAAUAUUAUUAAUGACAAAAUGUUAAAUAGACAACAGAAAUAAUCCAAGUUAAUAGAAUAGCUAGGAAUACUUAAAUUAGUGUACUUGGUAAGUCGAAGAAUUGUCUAAAGAGCCUUUUUAUUUUCCUAAAGCUAGGCCUUCUAUUAUGGGUGUGUAUUCCGUGUAAAAUGCUAAUGCAGGAGGGGGUGGGGAAUUAAAACAAUAAAAGGUGAUAUGAAUGAGAGACAGAUGUAAAAGAUAUUGUUUUACUUUACGUGCUUCAUAUAAUAAACUUGUAAUAUUUCGGGUUAAGUUCCUCUUUUCAAAUAAAAUAAAGUUGAAAGCGAAACACUCCAGCUUGUUUUAUUAUCGAUUACAAAAACAACAACAAUAAUAGCUUCUAAUGAUAAUAAUUGUUUCUAAGAUGGCGAUGACGUUUAUUUCUUUAAUAAUAAUAAUAAUAAUAAGCUUUAUCGUAAGCAGAUCUGAGAUUUGAUUGGGACGAUGGAAGGGAACAGCCGAUUAUGUCGUCGACCCCGGAAGAACAAGAAGGAAAUCAGACCUUGCUAUGAUUUGAACAUAAAACAUUAAGGGUCCAUGAUAUAAACAAAUACUAAAAAGACAAUUUGUUCAACGCGCUUAUAUUUUCCUGCCACUGCAACCACAGGCCACUAGCAGCAGCAGUAGUAGUAGUUACAGGGACAGCAUUUGCGAUUAUAUAUGGUCUUGUGGAGUGACACUUUGUGUAGUCACGUGAUAUGAGUGAGUGGCUCAGAGUCAGCUCACUUCGCAACCACGAAGUACCGGGUUCGCUCCUAACCCCAUUACACUUUCAGGAACUAUCUCCCUCUUAUGUCAGCGUCAAACCGUUCCGAGUUCAAAUCGGGCAAACGGUAGCUGUUAAAAAUGUGGGACUACAUCAGAAUGAAUAUUUUGUUUUAAAUUCAAGUGAUUGUGGGAAUUCUGUGGGAAAAAAUGUGUUCCAUUAUAGCCACGAGCAGCUGCAAGCUUUCUUCACAAUGCCGCGGUUUCGAUUCCUGGGACGGGCGAUGCGUUGCCAAGUACUUUGGGCAUUCGUCUAGCGAUCACAAUGUGGAGGAUUUUGAUACUUCAGCCGGAUGGUACGUUGUGUCCUUGAGCAAGUAUUUCAUUUCACGCUGCUCAGCUGGAAAUGAACGCCAGCCAAGUAAUAGUACUGCUCUUUCUCUCUCUUCUUCCAGCUGUCAUUUACAAAGUGCCGCUGGGUCAAACGGUGAGACACUGAAGAGCAGAGCAUGAAAGUGCCCCACAGUCAAACAGCGAGGCACGUGAGAGUAUACUGUGAAAUUACCCCUGGGUCAAACAGUAAGACGCGUGAGAGCGCUGCUAGAUCAAACAGUGAGGCACACAAGGGUAGAACGUGAAAGUGCCGCUGGGUCAAAGAGCGAGUCACGUGAGAGUAGAGCGAGCAAGUGCCGUUGGGUCAAAGUUGCGAGGUACGUGAGAAUAGACUGUGAAAUUACCCCUGGGCCGAACAGUAAGACGCGUGAGAGCGCUGCUUGAUCAAACAGUGAGGCACACAAGGGUAGAACGUGAAAGUGCCGCUGGGUCAAAGAGCGAGUCACGUGAGAGUAGAGCGAGCAAGUGCCGUUGGGUCAAAGCAGCGAGGCACGUGAGAAAAGAACGCGAAAGUUCCGCUCGGUCUAACGGUAAGACUAUACCGUUUGACCGAGCGUGCUCGCGACUACACAAGCACCUGUAAAAAUUACAGAAAGCAUUGUACUAGUUACAAAGCCAUAUGUAGACGCGGGUGACAGCUGGCUUGCUUGCGCUUCUUUUGAUGAAUAGCGAACCAUUUCAAAAGCUAAAUGUGUCGCUAUCGUAAAUGAUAAAAUUGAACAAUGAAAGAUAAUUGAAGAGGAAAGAAAUUAUGGAAUUUUGACAGGAAACGAAUCGAAGUGAACUAUUAGCAAAUGAGUAAAUGGCGUAUUUAUAAAUGAAUUCCGCAUUUGGGGUAGUUUGGUGACCGUUUGUUUAUGUUCUUGAUGUGACAUUUACACUGAACAUACAAAAAUCGGCUUUCCGUUAGUUAUGACGGCGAGAGUUGCUGUUGAUUCGAUCAACGAAACAGCCUGCUCGUGAAAUUAACGUGCAAGUGGCUGAGUACACCAUAGACACUCAUACCUUAACGUGGCUUUAAGGGGUCUAGCCCGGCUCCAUAUUGGUUACCAUAAUGAGGGUUGCUAUUGAUUCGAUCAACGAAACAGCCUGCUCGUGAAAUUAACGUGCAAGUGGCCGAGUACUCCGCAGACACGUGUAUCGUUAAUGUAGUUCUCGGGGAGAUUCAGCGUGACACAGAAUAUGCCAAGGCUGGCCCCUUGUGAAUUACAAGUACAACACGUUUUUGCCAGGUGAGUGGAGUGGAGCAACGUGAAAUAAAGGGUCUUGCUCAAGGACUGAUCGCGUCGCCUGGCAUCGAACUCUUCAAAAGGGCCGUGGAUAUAUUUCUCUUUUUGUCUUUAAAUCGACGGGAACGAAAUAGCUUGGUUGUAAGUCGAAAAAAAAAUGGUGGUUUAGAACGAC